rnacentral:rRNA from 1 species
AUUGAACGCUGGCGGCAUGCCUUACACAUGCAAGUCGAACGGUAACAGGUCUUCGGAUGCUGACGAGUGGCGAACGGGUGAGUAAUGCAUCGGAACGUGCCCAGUAGUGGGGGAUAGCCCGGCGAAAGCCGGAUUAAUACCGCAUACGACCUGAGGGUGAAAGGGGGGGAUCGCAAGACCUCUCGCUAUUGGAGCGGCCGAUGUCAGAUUAGCUAGUUGGUGGGGUAAAGGCCUACCAAGGCAACGAUCUGUAGUUGGUCUGAGAGGACGACCAGCCACCCUGGGACUGAGACACGGCCCAGACUCCUACGGGAGGCAGCAGUGGGGAAUUUUGGACAAUGGGCGCAAGCCUGAUCCAGCAAUGCCGCGUGCAGGAAGAAGGCCUUCGGGUUGUAAACUGCUUUUGUCAGGGAAGAAAUCUUCUGGGUUAAUACCUCGGGAGGAUGACGGUACCUGAAGAAUAAGCACCGGCUAACUACGUGCCAGCCGCCGCGGUAAUAC